CAACAGAGGGUGCCGCGAGCUACAUAGAUUGAAGAACUGAAGAACUGAACCUGGAUGCAGGACACUAUUAUCAUCAAUUCUCAAAAGAGACACCUUUGUUCCUCUCAAGAGACUGAAAUUGAUGGAGACACUUUAAUGAACCUAACUGAGACUACGAAAGCAUAAAUAUUCCCCAAAAUUAAGGAUUAAGUCAAAUUCAAAAGAUUACAAGAAAACCUAAAGACUGAGAUGCCAGCAAGACUACAGACACCAUGAGUCUCAAUGGUUGCUGCUGUCCUGCUGUUUCCACUUCUAUUAAAGGUGAAUCUGAGAUCUCUUUAUGUCAUCAGUGAGGAACCACAUACAACCAAACCCUGUGCUGUUUCUAAAUGGGCGUGCCUUGGAUGCAGAGAAAUAAUGAUGGAAGGGGAGGAGGAGGUCUGUGAAGUAGACAAUGCGAACACAGCUCUACACUUCAUCUUCAACACUGAAUAUGCUUCAAAGUUGAGAGACAUCCUGACAUUUAUUGAAAACUGUUUAAUGUAUCAUAAUGCCAAAACAUUUGAUGUGUUUCCCAUACAUUUAUUUAUUUGUGGUGCUCACAAUAUCAAAACUGACCGAUUUUCCAAAAGGCAUUGUUGAAUAAACAUGAGCACGUACUGCACGUUAAAAAAUCAAAAC